UACGAAGGGGGCUAGCGUUGCUCGGAAUCACUGGGCGUAAAGGGUGCGUAGGCGGGUCUUUAAGUCAGGGGUGAAAUCCUGGAGCUCAACUCCAGAACUGCCUUUGAUACUGAGAAGCUUGAGUCCGGGAGAGGUGAGUGGAACUGCGAGUGUAGAGGUGAAAUUCGUAGAUAUUCGCAAGAACACCAGUGGCGAAGGCGGCUCACUGGCCCGGUACUGACGCUGAGGUGCGAAAGCUAGGGGAGCAAACAGG
rnacentral:rRNA from 1 species